rnacentral:rRNA from 1 species
AACGAACGCUGGCGGCAUGCUUAACACAUGCAAGCCGAACGGACUUGUAGGGCUUGCUCUACAAGUUAGUGGCAGACGGGUGAGUAAUGCGUGGGAAUGUACCUUUUGGUUCGGAAUAACUUCGGGAAACUGAAGCUAAUACCGGAUAAGCCCGUGAGGGGAAAGAUUUAUCGCCGAAAGAGCAGCCCGCGUUAGAUUAGGUAGUUGGUGGGGUAAAGGCCUACCAAGCCUACGAUCUAUAGCNGGUCUGAGAGGAUGAUCAGCCACACUGGGACUGAGACACGGCCCAGACUCCUACGGGAGGCAGCAGUGGGGAAUAUUGGACAAUGGGGGAAACCCGUGAUCCAGCAAUGCCGCGUGAGUGAUGAAGGCC